rnacentral:tRNA from 15 species
GGCCUCAUCGUCUAGCGGCUAGGACGACAGAUUCUCAAUCUGUAAACCGGAGUUCGAUUCUCCGUGGGGUCA